AUGGAGCUGAGAUCUCGGCGCUGCCCGUCCGAGCAGCCUAGCGGCGGACCAGACUGCAUCAGCGUCCUUCCCGACGACCUGCUCCUCCUCAUCCUCGCCCGACUCGGAUGCGCCGGCGCCGCCGCGCGCACCGGCGUCCUCUCCCGCCGGUGGCGCGGCCUCUGGCCCCGCCUCCGCCAGAUCGUCUUCCGCGACGUCCCCUACGCUUCGCUCGAAGCGGCGCUCGGCGGCGUCUCUCGCCCCCCUCCCCCGGUUUCCCUCCUCGAAUUCCGCGUCCCCGACAAGCGUCUCCCUGGGCAUCGCAGGCCCGACUCCGCCGGCAUCAACUCGCUGCUGCUCGCCGCAGCGGGGCUCGAGCCGGAGGCUCUCGUCGUGGCUCUCCCCUCGCACUUAAUAGGCUGUACCCUCGUCCUCGACCUGCCUUACUUCCACCGCGCCGCCUCCAUCGUGCUAGACAUUUGUUCCAUCCUCAGCGUGCCUGCCGGCGUCGAGUUCCCCGCGCUCGAGACGCUGUCUUUGUCGUGCUUCCUUCCCGACCUUGACUCCUUCAUCCCCUGCUGCCCGCGCUUGCGCACGCUCCGGCUUGGCAGCCUCUUUUUGGGCGUCCUGCGCCUCAACUCUGUGUCGCUGCAGGAGCUUGUGGUGGAUCGCGAGGCAGGAUUGACAGACCAUAUCAGCAUCGUUGCCCCCGUGCUCAGGCAAUUGACCAUGUCCUUCAUAUCCUCGAACCCCAGCAUCUCCGUCUCGGCACCAAUGCUGGAGAAGGUCUCAUGGCGCUGCUGCUAUACCGACGGCUCUAUUGUGUUUGGUGUUUGGCUACUCGAGGAGGUGUUACUACGGACGACAGAGACACUAGGGCAACUCCCUUCGCUGCACAUUCAUUUUGGCGCCAGCUCGUCUAUUUUUCAUGGUGAAGUGGAUACCCUUACUCAGGAGAUAGAAAAGCACAUGAUUGCUGAGUUUUCUGUUUUGGAGCUACAUCUCAAAACAAGUGGACAUGUGUUUGGAGCACUCACGAUUCAUCUCCUUGGGAUGAAUCGACUUUGUACUGCUAUGCAGAAGAUUAAGGUCAUCCUACAGAGAUCAGCGGUGAAAGAAAGAUGCUCACCAGAUUGUCCAUGUGAGUCCUCGGGCUGGAGAGUCCAAACUAUUUCCUUGACCGCUCUCGAAGAAGUGGAGAUCAACGGCUUUGAAGGAGACAAUCAUGAGCUUGAUUUCUUGAAACUGGUACUCAGAUGUGCACCAAUGCUUAAAAGAAUGAUUGUGAAGCUGUCAGAUAAGGCCUCAGCAAGUAACUAUAGACGCACAAAACUAUACAACAUCUUCAGGGCCAAUUCAUCCGUGGAAUUCUAUGUCUAUCUUAGCUCCGGGUUAAUGCACGGUAGCCAAAAUUGCCUCUCUACAUGA
rnacentral:rRNA from 1 species